GCGGUGGAGCAUGUGGUUUAAUUCGACGCAACGCGAAGAACCUUACCAGGGCUUGACAGUCCCUGACCGCGUAUGAAAGUACGUUUUCACCCUCGGGUGACAGGGAGACAGGUGGUGCAUGGUUGUCGUCAGCUCGUGUCGUGAGAUGUUGGGUUAAGUCCCGCAACGAGCGCAACCCCUACGUUUAGUUGCUAACGCGUGAAGGCGAGCACUCUAGACGAACUGCCGUUGACAAAACGGAGGAAGGUGGGGAUGACGUCAAAUCAUCAUGCCCCUUAUGUUCUGGGCUACACACGUGCUACAAUGGCCGGUACAGACGGACGCAAAGCCGCGAGGUGGAGCAAAUCCUAAAAAGCCGGUCUCAGUUCGGAUUGCAGGCUGCAAUUCGCCUGCAUGAAGUCGGAAUCGCUAGUAAUCGCAGGUCAGCAUACUGCGGUGAAUACGUUCCCGGGCCUU
rnacentral:rRNA from 1 species